rnacentral:rRNA from 1 species
CAGUCGCCGCGGGAAUACGUAGGGUGCAAGCGUUAAUCGGAAUUACUGGGCGUAAAGCGUGCGCAGGCGGUUAUAUAAGACAGAUGUGAAAUCCCGGGCUCAACCUGGGAACUGCAUUUGUGACUGUAUAGCUAGAGUACGGCAGAGGGGGAUGGAAUUCCGCGUGUAGCAGUGAAAUGCGUAGAUAUGCGGAGGAACACCGAUGGCGAAGGCAAUCCCCUGGGCCUGUACUGACGCUCAUGCACGAAAGCGUGGGGAGCAAACAGGAUUAGAGACCCCAGUAGUCCCUGUCUCUUAUACA